UGAUUGUGACCCACUCUCAGCUUGAGAACCACGUUUGCUUAGAGCGCAUGGCAGUAAGGUGCUGACCGUACAGGUUAAAUGAAGAGGAAUGUUUAGAAUCACCAAGGGCCAGAAGGGGUUUGUUGGCUUACUUCGGAGAAAGAAAAUGAAGAGUCUAUCCCCAGGCAGGUUUCAGCAUGAAUGUUUCUGCGUGUCAUAAUCCAGAAGUGUCCCAAGGUCCUUAGAAGCCGGCCAUAAAACUGAGUCUGGAGACACUGAGCAGAAAGCGGCUUGGCAGCUACAUCCAAAGUGACAAAAUCUAUACAGCAAGACUGUAAAUAGGAGGUUUAAGGAGAACGUAUUUCAUAUGACUUGCGCUGUAGACAUCAUCACCCAUAAGCGGCAGGACAUCUGAGGCAACUCUUCCAGAUCUGAUCCUGCAGAACUGCUAUGACCUGGGAGCCAUCCGUUUGAAAUAUAAUAAUCAAGAAGCAAGAAGCCCAGGCCUUCUAGUUUCUUGGCUUGAGAGGAGCCAGACUUCAGCAGCAAGAAGAUUCCUUGGGACCCAAUAGUGAGACCCAGUUGCCUCGUUGCACAGUGUCUGCAGACUUGAUUUCUGCAAGUCCUGUUGGGGUCAUUCUGAGCCUCACUGACGCGACUCAUCAUGGGUUAUCAACAACAACGGUGACUG